UAAGUCCUCUNGAAUGGGNCACCAUAGAGGGUGNAAGUCCCGUAACGAGUAGCGACCGUGUUUCACGCAACUGUUCACGUCGAGUCGUGUUACUUGAAAGUGUAACACUAAGACCCAGGUAGAUUCCUGGUAAGGCUAAAUACGANCACCAGACCGAUAGCAAACAAGUACCGUGAGGGAAAGUUGCAAAGCACUUUGAAGAGAGAGUUAAAAGACCGUGAAACCGGUAACAGGUAAACGGAUGGAGCUGCGAACGAGCGCAGAGGGUCUCAGGCUGGGCUAGUCUCGGUUGUAUGACUCCUCUCGCGGAGAUGGUGAGGACUUGAAAGUGUUGGUCGCUAAGUCCGGUGUCUGCUUCACUCACCUGAACGAGGCUCUUCGGAGUAGUAGUUUAGUUAUGGGCGUUGAACAUCGGCUUGCACCACCAACAGGAUCGAGUCUGUAGUGACUCUCUCACGAGGGUUAGUCGUUAGUCAUGGUUGAGAGUGUUUGCAGUGUCUCUCGUGGUUAGUGGGGUUCGCGCUCCAUGAAACACCGAGUCUCGCAACAGACGCCUCACCGCAGCUACGACAUCACCAUAGUAGCUGGUCUCUAUCCGACC
rnacentral:rRNA from 1 species